GAGCUGUGCGAGCGCCGCGCCCAAACCCACGGAUCAGGAAGAGAAGUUUUCAAAUGAUUCUCUGUAAGUAUUUAUAUUUCUGUCCGUGGUUACUUGAUCGUUAAAUAACACGAAGAAACAAUACGUCGAUCGACCGGCAAAGGAGUUUAAACGCGGGGAAGUGUAAAGAAGAUCGCUGCGUAAAAGGCUCAAGAGACCAAAAACAAAGAGAAAAGUGACUGCAGCGAUCGCCGACAGAAAGAGGUGGGAAAAGUGGUCUUACUCGACAAAGUUUCUCAGGGUGAAAUGCUCCAAAAGUUACGUUCCAGAUGAGAUUCCCGGCAAGACUCACCAGACAUGAUGGCAAAGAUGAAGAGAGGCUCCCUUGAGAAGACCUGUGGGGCUCCACGACGUCCUUUUCUGCCUGGGCAAAAUGACCAAGAACGAAAUUUGGGCAAAAAUCUCCAAAAACGUUGACAUAAAAGUCUUACACCGGCAUCAGAGCAUACAACAAUAUUGUAAUAUAGCUGGGGACAUAUUAGUUUGAGAUUUUCUCCCUCCAUGCCUACUAUUUAAAACCCCUAGAACUCAAUGAUUUGACAAUGAUUUGAUUGCGCGUUACUUUCAAUUUGAAUAUUCAGAGGCAACACUCUUAUAUCGAUUUUUAAACAAAAUUGACCACAUACGGCCAUUGUACAACCACCACUGUAAUAUAAUAUAUUAUAAUUUCACAUUUUGACCCAAAAGAAAUCUUACUUUUAUUAAUUUUAUCCUCCUUUUGCACAGUCUCAGCAUCACACCCCCUCAUUAGACACAUCAGCGCUGGCGCUACUUGUGCGCAAUGCAAACGUCGCAAUUGACCAAAAGUCGGUGGCACACGUUUCUGAAGGGCACUCCGUAUGUGUAAAAUUUCUCCAAAGCCAUUUAUAAGCUAUAUUUAGGAAAAAAGCGAAUGAAAAAGGGAGACAAGUGGGCGUGGCAAAUGGCUGUGGACAACUUUGGCACCGCAGGCCUCCAAGCAAGUGAUGCAGUGCGCACUCACCUGCUGAAGGCUCCUGGCUGAGGAGCACCGGGGCGCAGGCUUUAAAUAGAAAUAAUAAACUGCGAGAUUCGUUAUUUAACACUAAUAGAGCCAUGUCACAACUUUGAAAAAUAGUGAGCAAUUUUACAUGUUGAGACUGUGACGGCAAAAAUAACAAUACAUAAGAUAAAAUAAAAUAUUCUCUUGUCCCUAUUAGGUUCUGGAAAUUUUAAGAAAAUAUGUGUUUUUUUUAUACUUGGUUUUCACUUAAUAAUUUGAUGAAGUGAUUUUCCAGUUUUUUCUUAGACUCCUUUAAAUAAAACAGCACUUGCGCUUCAGCGCGAGGGCUGGAUGUAUUCAACGUUAAAUAAAACCAGGUGUUUUAGCUGUAACCUGCCGGGUUUUAUAAAUUGUGAUGUUUGUAAGAGUGUAGGGCCUGUAAUAAUUCUAGCUGCGCUUCAGAAACGAGCGGGGAAAAGGAUGAAAUAACAAAGAAAAUUAAAGUGAAACAGGAUGGCAGACACCGGUAGAACGCAACUGAAUAUAUUUCUGAACUUUCCCUGUUGGAUCUUUUGUAGAGAACACUGAGGCUCCACGGGAACACGGUCAAGAGGACGGGGAGCACAGGCGGGUGUUCCAGGAGACAAGUUCAUCCUGACCAUACAAAUGCGCAAGACCAACAACACUGGAGGAUAUGAAGGUGUCCAUCAUAAAGAGGGCAUCCAACAACUGUCCAGAGAUAUGUGUCCGGAAGUUUAAGGAAGGGAUAAACUAAAGGUGAGACAUGUAAAAGUGGAGUGUGCAAUAAAGUUUGAUGCACUGAAAUUCCUCCCCACUCGUGUGGUAUCGUUUCUCAAGACUGUUUUGAUUCAUUUUUAUUUUUACUGUUGGAAAAACCGCCCUCUAGGGGAAAUUACAAGUACAGCACAGGUUGGAUGAGUGGCAGAAGCAGUUAAAAAUGAUUGAUAUGUCAAACUUUAUAAACAAAAAGAAACACAUGGUCUUCCAGGGAUGAGUGGAAAACACGGUCAGGGAAUCAGGAGGCUGGUGCGGAGUGGCAGAAGCCUACCAGGGUUGCAGGGCUCAAACCAAGGAAAUGGCUCUCAAUUCAUUGGCAAAUCGGGAGUGUGAUGAGUGA